rnacentral:rRNA from 1 species
CCUACGGGUGGCAGCAGUGAGGAAUAUUGGUCAAUGGGCGCAAGCCUGAACCAGCCAAGUCGCGUGCAGGAAGACGGCCCUAUGGAUUGUAAACCUCUUUUGUCGGGGAGUAAAACGCGUCACGCGUAGCGUUUUGCGUGUACCGUAUGAAAAAGGAUCGGCUAAUUCCGUGCCAGCAGCCGCGGUAAUACGGAGGAUGCGAGCGUUAUCCGGAUUUUUUGGGUUUAAAGGGGGCGCAGGCGGAAGGUCAAGUCGGCGGGAAAAUUGGGGGGCUCAACCGCUUCGAGCAGUUGAAACUGGGUUGCUUGAGUGCGCGAGAAGCAUGCGGAAUGCGUGGUGUAGCGGUGAAAUGCUUAGAUAUGACGAAGAAUCCCGAUUGCGAAGGCAGCUUACUGGAGCUCAACUGACGCUGAUGCACGAAAGUGUGGGUAUCGAACAGGAUUAGAUACCCGAGUAGUC